AAUGAGUGCCAAAUGUAAACAUG
rnacentral:siRNA from 1 species